GAUGAACGCUGGCGGCGUGCCUAAUACAUGCAAGUAGAACGCUGAAGCUUGGUGCUUGCACCGAGCGGAUGAGUUGCGAACGGGUGAGUAACGCGUAGGUAACCUGCCUCUUAGCGGGGGAUAACUAUUGGAAACGAUAGCUAAUACCGCAUAAAAGUCGACAUCGCAUGAUGUUGACUUGAAAGGUGCAAUUGCAUCACUAAGAGAUGGACCUGCGUUGUAUUAGCUAGUUGGUGAGGUAACGGCUCACCAAGGCGACGAUACAUAGCCGACCUGAGAGGGUGAUCGGCCACACUGGGACUGAGACACGGCCCAGACUCCUACGGGAGGCAGCAGUAGGGAAUCUUCGGCAAUGGGGGCAACCCUGACCGAGCAACGCCGCGUGAGUGAAGAAGGUUUUCGGAUCGUAAAGCUCUGUUGUAAGAGAAGAACGAGUGUGAGAGUGGAAAGUUCACACUGUGACGGUAACUUACCAGAAAGGGACGGCUAACUACGUGCCAGCAGCCGCGGUAAUACGUAGGUCCCGAGCGUUAUCCGGAUUUAUUGGGCGUAAAGCGAGCGCAGGCGGUUAGAUAAGUCUGAAGUUAAAGGCUGUGGCUUAACCAUAGUACGCUUUGGAAACUGUUUAACUUGAGUGCAGAAGGGGAGAGUGGAAUUCCAUGUGUAGCGGUGAAAUGCGUAGAUAUAUGGAGGAACACCGGUGGCGAAAGCGG
rnacentral:rRNA from 1 species